AGUCUUCACGCUGGAAGCUUUCCGGGGAGGGUCAGUAAUGGCUGCUGAACCCUCUAUUGGCUUAUUGGCUGAGCUCACUGAUGAAGAAGCCUUGAGUUCGUCACUUUCUCUUCUCUAAUUGCUGAGGUGGCCGUCAUUGAAGAUGACAGAGCGUUUCUGAAGGACACAUGGGAAUCAUUAACCAGCCCAAUAAAAUGAUCUAUUUAUGUAGAGUUCCCUGGACGGCCCAGAGAAGGACUCCACCUUCAUUGUUCCCCUCUCUUGUUCCCCAACCUACCAAAACACAACCCCAUCUUCAGACAGAAGGCACACAGGCUGUCUUAUAGAGGCUCACAGUUCCAACUCUUAGAGCCAUCCCCAGGUUAGACUCAGGGCACAACCAUCAGACGAAGUGGGAGGAAGAAACAUUAACUUCAACAGCUGUUUCUUGACCCCGGCUGUCAGUCUUCCCAAGAAUAAAUUUUGGAGAGUCCUAUUUGAAACAAAGAGGGAGUUUUGGGGGAGAGAAAAGUUGGUUGGUUCCAGGGCAGCCGCCCAAAGAAGCAGGGAACAAGAUGUUUGCAGUUACCCUGCAGCCUGCAAGCCUCUGCCGGGUGCAGGCAAGGAGCAAAGUAACUUGAAAGCUCCCCUCUCGGCGCCCUGUGCCUGCAGCUUCCCCCCCUAACGCGCGCCCAGAUCCAGCGCCGGUGGUAAGAGCCGAAGCUCGACUACAGUAAUUCCCCAGCUCGGGCGGCUUGAAACUGCUCGGGCUGAAUAGCAUUUGCUGUUCCGUCCUGUGGCAGCCUCCCGCCGCCGCUGCCGCGCUCCCUGCAAAGCAGCUCUCAUUAUCCCGGAAGUUGUGCUGACACAGUCUCGCUGCCACCAGAAGUUUGUCAACAUCAAACUUCUCCUGUGUGGGGUACGUUCACCUUCCACGAGUAUUUAAUCGAGCCAACAAGCAAACAAACAAACCCAAAUAAACCUGCCCGUGAUGUCAUGGUCUUUUUUUUUUUUCCCCCCUCUCUUUCCUGGAAAGGCUGGAGACUGUUGGGAAUUUGCUGGUGGGCUCUGAGAGCGCCUGUGGGUUUCUGGGGGACUGGGUUUCGGGGGGAGGGGGACAGGGACCGGCCCGGGUGGGCAGUGAGGAAGGGACUGCGGGGGGCAGUGCGGGGCAGUUGGGGCUGGAAGGCUGGAGGGCUUGCAGAGAGAACUGGGGCCGAGCGGCAGGUUGGUCCUGCAGCCUGUUGGCUUCCGCUGGGUUUGAGGUUGCACCAACUGGGCGAAGGUGGCUUUGCAUCCUAGCCCCACCACAAAGGUUAUUUGGAGGCAGCGGCAAGGCAAAGCAGGAGAAUGCUCCCACCCCCGCUCCCGAUGCCCACUGUGCAUUUAACACUCUUACAGGACGUUUAGACCUCUUUCGGAAUAAAGGACGUUGGGGUCAUAAAAUGCAUUUUGAGACUUAACACUGCCACACAAGGGGAAUCCUGGGAUAUGACCAUGUCCGUCUUUAGUGGGUCUGUUCGGAUACCACGACGGGCUCUCAAAACUUCAGACUCCAUGCCUUCUUAGCUCUCCUCUUUAAGUUGCCAGGCACUUGGUUUGGGUGUUUGUGGUUUCCAAUUGCACCCCACUUAGAUGCUUUGAUGCUCCCCACUUAGAUGCUUUGGUGCUCCCCAAAGCUGGGGUGAGGAGUAGACAGGGCAGCUGUGAUUAACCCUUUCCCUUCCGCAGGUAUUAGUUAGACAUUCCAUUUGGCUCAGAGGCUGGGUGGGCCUGAAAGAACUGAGAGGAAUAAAUGGGCCUUCUUGAAGUGGGGUUGCUUGCAUAUCACAAUUUUUCCCGCAAAGGGGUUGGUGAAGAGAGUUGCUGAUUCUGACUUUGGCUCUAAUUUCCAAGGGCUAGGAGAUACUUCAUUAGAGUAUGGAGGCGAUACCCCCCAUCUCCCAUCUCCCUCUCGCAAAGUCAGAUUAUACAUGGGCAACUACAAGGGCCCAGUGUCUCAACGGUGGGCAGACCAAAGCCUGGCUCCUUGGCUUGGAGAUGUAUCCACUGAGGAGAGAGCAGUAUUGUCCCCUGUCCUCAAAAAUAAAUUUGAGUGGAAAAAAAAAAAAAAAACCGUCUCUGAAGAGAAUUAUCCAAAUGCAAUGUUGCUGGAAUGGGGAGGAAGUUGAAUCCACGUAGGGAGCUAGGAGCUAAGAUUUUCUUCUGCUGGUCUGCUCGUAAUGACUAUGUGCUUAGAAAAAUUAGCCUGUAGGCGUGUAUCUUCAAUAACAAGAAGACACUUUUCUUGUUUUUCAAACUAACCUAAACGGGGAAAUUGUACUAGGCUCUAGCUCCCAGCUAAUCUCAGAUACAUACCAAAACCAAGUAACAACCAGAGAGGCAGAAUGCCAAACCUAAAGACUCUGGGUAACAGAGGCAUUUCUCAAGAUUGGAAUUUACCUUUGACAAAUACAUAGAUUUAACUCCAAUCAUAAGGCAGGAUGCCCUUACACAUAUGUGGUGCCACACAUAAAAACCACACCCAAAGCACAGGCAGAAUGUGUUUUGCUCACUAGAGGGAAUGUUCCCCUUUGGCCAUGUUUCAAAAAUUUUCAAUUAUUCAGACUUCUUUUCUUAAGGUUAUAGUUUAAUCUUAUUUAUUUAUUUUCUCAUCAUCUACAAAUGUGACUCAACACGUACCACAAGGGAUACAGUAAAUCAGGAGAUGUGAAGGGUUCCCUCUAUAUAACUCCAUACACAUGAAUAUUCUGUCCUGGUGGUUAAUCUCUCAUAGUGUAAAAAGCCUGAUUUUUAAAGGCCGAGGGGCUUUAGCUGAAUACGGUAUUACAUGGUUCGUACAGUUGGGUUUAUUUACAAAUCAAACUAGU